rnacentral:rRNA from 1 species
AGCUAGUUGGUGAGGUAAAAGCUCACCAAGGCGACGAUCUGUAGCGGGUCUGAGAGGAUGAUCCGCCACACUGGAACUGAGACACGGUCCAGACUCCUACGGGAGGCAGCAGUGGGGAAUUUUGGACAAUGGGGGCAACCCUGAUCCAGCCAUGCCGCGUGAGUGAAGAAGGCCUUCGGGUUGUAAAGCUCUUUCAGCCGGGAAGAAAAUGCAUGGGUUAAUACCCUGUGCAGAUGACGGUACCGGAAUAAGAAGCACCGGCUAACUACGUGCCAGCAGCCGCGGUAAUACGUAGGGUGCGAGCGUUAAUCGGAAUUACUGGGCGUAAAGCGUGCGCAGGCGGUUUUGUAAGACAGGCGUGAAAUCCCCGGGCUUAACCUGGGAACUGCGUUUGUGACUGCAAGGCUAGAGUACGGCAGAGGGGGGUGGAAUUCCACGUGUAGCAGUGAAAUGCGUAGAGAUGUGGAGGAACACCAAUGGCGAAGGCAGCCCCCUGGGUCGAUACUGACGCUCAUGCACGAAAGCGUGGGUAGCAAACAGGAUUAGAUACCCUGGUAGUCCACGCCCUAAACGAUGUCAACUAGGUGUUGGGAGGGUAAAACCUUUUAGUACCGUAGCUAACGCGAGAAGUUGACCGCCUGGGGAGUACGGCCGCAAGGUUAAAACUCAAAGGAAUUGACGGGGACCCGCACAAGCGGUGGAUGAUGUGGAUUAAUUCGAUGCAACGCGAAAAACCUUACCUACCCUUGACAUGUCAGGAACUUUCCAGAGAUGGAUUGGUGCCCGAAAGGGAACCUGAACACAGGUGCUGCAUGGCUGUCGUCAGCUCGUGUCGUGAGAUGUUGGGUUAAGUCCCGCAACGAGCGCAACCCUUGUCGUUAAUUGCCAUCAUUCAGUUGGGCACUUUAACGAGACUGCCGGUGACAAACCGGAGGAAGGUGGGGAUGACGUCAAGUCCUCAUGGCCCUUAUGGGUAGGGCUUCACACGUCAUACAAUGGUCGGUACAAAGGGUCGCCAACCCGCGAGGGGGAGCCAAUCCCAUAAAGCCGAUCGUAGUCCGGAUUGUAGGCUGCAACUCGCCUGCAUGAAGUCGGAAUCGCUAGUAAUCGUGGAUCAGCAUGUCACGGUGAAUACGUUCCCGGGUCUUGUACACACCGCCCGUCACACCAUGGGAGCGGGUUCCGCCAGAAGUAGGUAGCCUAACCGCAAGGG